CUCGAUGCGUCUCUCUCUCUCUCUCUCUCUGCUUCUUCUUCCGUUUCUUGUUUCUCACACAAAACAAAACCCUACUCCAUCCGUAGUCCAUAGUAAUCCACUCAGACAUGAAUGAUUGAACACUGUUUUCGCUGUUCUUUCAUCUCUCUCUCUCUUUCUCUCGCUCAGACAUCCACCUCGUCCUCGCUCUCGCUGUAUUUUCUAUAUAUACAGAACAACCGACACGGGAGCAGCGCACGAACUGUUUGCUCCUCUGAUAUACGCAUAUAUUAAUGGAAGGGCUGUACGGACUGCACAUUUCCAUGGAGGGUCUACCGGAGGACCUGCAGGUUUCUCCGGAAGAAAGUAACCGUGGCCAUCAUGAUCAUCAUCACCCUUUUGGUUUCGUUCAUCCGCAAAGCGCGACGUCUUUUCACCUGAGCGGGUCGGACCACCAGCUGGUGCCGGGUUCCUCUGCCAUAUCCGAUGCCGGGUCGAGCAUGGUUGUUGUCGCAGACGGAGAAGGAGAAGAAGGAGAAGAAGAUGACGGCGACGUUUCGACGACGCUCCGAGCUAAAAUCGCUACGCACCCUCUUUACCCUAAACUGCUCGAGGCAUAUGUUGAUUGCCACAAGGUUGGGGCUCCGCCGGAAGUAGCCGGUUUACUGGACGAAAUCCGGCGACAAAGUGACGACAUUUCUAUGGUCACAGGAUCAGUUACCGAUUGUCGCGGUUUGGAUCCCGAACUUGAUGAGUUCAUGGGAACUUACUACAGCAUGUUGGUGAAGUACAAAUCGGAUCUGUCAAAGCCGUUCGAGGAGGCAACCUCGUUCUUGAACACUAUGCGUGACCAGCUCAACACUCUUUGCCACGGCUCGUCUUCGUCGACCAACUAUCUUCACGUGACCGAAGAUUGUGCGGGGUCAUCCGAGGAAGAUCUUAGUGGGGGUGAGAUUGAUGUAUUGGAGGGCAGCCGGUCCAGCGAAGACCGGGAGCUUAAGGACAAACUCCUGCGCAAAUACAGCGGAUACAUCGGGGCUCUCAAGCACGAGUUCUCCAAGAAGAAGAAGAAAGGGAAGCUGCCACGGGAGGCCCGGCAAUUGCUGCUCGAUUGGUGGAGCAUUCAUUAUAACUGGCCAUACCCCACUGAAGCGGACAAGCUUGCGUUGGCAGAGGCGACGGGGCUGGACCAGAAGCAGAUCAACAACUGGUUCAUAAAUCAGAGGAAGCGCCAUUGGAAGCAGGACGAGAACACGCAGCCCGGCAUCAUGGAGAGUCUGUACGGACCGUUCUUCGCGAACUAGUGAUGUCGGGUGUCGGGUGCAAGGUUUCUCACGUAGGAUCACUGCUUUAAUUAGGGGAACCUUGCCUCUUAGUUAUCCAUGCAAUUGAAGAUAUUCUCCUUUUUCUCAA